CGCAGCGCAGUGAGCACAAAGCGAACUAUUCUUUCGCCUUUUACUAAAGAAUACCGUGUGCUGCAAUUAGUGGCAUACGCCUAUUUUUGGAGGGUUCUCUUCCUUAGAGUAC